CAUUCGAAGCAGUAUCGUUCUCGUUGGAAGCGUAAAGUUGCUGAUGAAACUUCCCAAAUUUCUACAAAAGGACGCACCUAUGUGCAGGUCGAACAUCGUCGAAACGUUACAAGACUGAGGCACAAUGCCGAGGAGGAGGAUGUUGCGGGUCCAGCCGGCAACGCAGCAGGUCGUGCACUUAACACUCGUCCAGUGGCGUAGUAAGAAGGAGAGCUUGUUGCUGUCUUCACCAGACGUUAGCUUACCAGAUCUGUGCUGCACUCGAAGCACCAUUGCUGGAGUUUAUUGAAUGCCACAGUUGAGGGUGAGUCACAAGUUUUUUUUGACAAAUUUACUUGUUUUUUUGAUAGAUGAGUGCUGGAAAUUGCUAAUGUUGUUCAACCUACAUUUCCUCCUGUUCCCUACAUCCAAUAACGAACCAAGUAUAUUCCUGUCCUUUCCUCUUCCUAUACUGUCAACAAAUUUAUCUACAAACAAAGCAGAGUAACAAGGUUGAAUCUAUAAGCUAGUAUUAUACUAUAUAGUGCUUUCUGUGGGGCAUGGGGGGCAUUGCAAUAGUGUUUUGUUUUGGUCGUAACAUUUUUCAGCCAUAUGAAAAUUUACAUGAGUAAAUUACUAAAUUUGUCGUUGUUGUUGAUGUACU